rnacentral:tRNA from 1 species
GUCUUAAUAGUUUAAAAAAAUAUUAAAUUGCAAAUUUAAAGAUAAUAUUAAUUAUUUUAAGAUU